UGAAUCCCGCCUUGGUAACCGCUAGCCACGGGCCAAGUUCUAGCCUUGCAGGCGAGGCGCAAUGGUAACGGAUGGAGCCGACCGUGAAGGCUGUAGUCCCGAAAUGACCUCUUUGGAAGGAGCCGAUGGUUUCAAGACACCAGCAGGCAACAGCGGGUACGGCGAGAAGUUGAAGGGGCAAGCCGUGCCUGACCACCCGGGAUGGGACAACU
rnacentral:ncRNA from 1 species